CGCCUGGGGCCCAUCACCUUUCCUCUCCCUGAGUCCUCCAGAAUCCUCAUACUCACAGUCCAAGCCUGACUUCCUGGAAAGGUCUCCCGAAGCUCAGGUGAAACUCUCCUGAAGCUCAAUUCCACCUUGCUCCCUGCUGCCCUGAACUCUAUGCACUCCAAGUUGUCUCCUCCUCACACAUUCCUGACCAUCUGCUGCUUUGCCCACGUACAGACCCCUGGGAAGAUGAAGAAAUCCAGAUCUGGAAUGGGCAGUGUAUUGAGAGCCUCCAAAGCCGGCAGGAGGUCCAGAGGGGGCAGGUGUCUCUUACAGAAGGCAUGAACAGGCACUCAACAUACGUUUCUUUAUUUAACCCUCAAGAACUCUGGUAGGUAAAUGUACUCUCAAAUUUACAAACAAAUGAGGAAACUGAGACCUGGAGAAUCUAAGUAACUGCCCAAGAUCACAUAGGCUUGGAGUGGCUCCAAAACCUUUGCUUUUUUUUUCAUACGGCAUUUAACAUAUAAAAUAGAGGUCUAACCCUUUAUAUGUCUAAAAGCUUUCUUCUUUCUACAUUUCACAUAGCGUAGUGGUUAAGAAUGCAGACUUUCUGAGUACAGUCCUGGCGCUACAGUGUCUUAAAACAUAUAAAGUACUUAGAAUAGUACCUGAUGUAGCCACAAGUGCCCCCAGAACAUUAGCAAUUGUGAAUCUAUUUCAUCAUGCCCAAAUCUGGCCAUGCCUGAAGCCUGCCCUGCUUCCAUACUGGAAUCAGUCUUCCACCUCUGUUUUGUACUCCUUGUCUCCCAUCUGGAGCUCUGACAAUGUAGUGCCUGUGGCUGUAUUCUGUCCACCCAGCAGUGGGCCCCACUCUGGCUUCAGUCAGGCAGGAUGGCUCCCUUUGCUGGGUUUGGAGGAGAGGCCAGCCCCUCUUCCCAUGGCUUCUCCAUUCCAUCCUCCCAAGGCCAGGGCCCUAGCCAUUUCCCUCUUCGGGAAAGAUUCUCUGUGGCAUCCCUAAGCACAUUCCUCAAGGUGAGGUAGUUCCAUCUCCUACAGGCUCUCAGCCACAGCCACUGACCUCUCUAGUCUUGCAAAACCCAGAGCAGAGGAGAGAAUCACCUGUGGUUCUUUUGCCAUCUUCACUUAACCUCAGUGAACCCACAGCAAGAGCCAGGACCAGCCCUUUCCAGCAGACACCCUCUGGGGGGACUACAGUCUGGGCCACAAGUAUGGUGUUAACCAACCAUGGUGCCACCUGUGCUCUGCACUGUGCAGGCACCAAGAAGACUUGGGAGGCCAUGCAGACAGCAUUGCUUCUGACCUAGGAAAGCUACUCCACCCAGCAGAGGCGUGAUCCUCAGAAACUGAAGAGCACAUCAAAGAGUGUAUGACCUAAGCAAGACUGGGCCAGAUGAUU
rnacentral:lncRNA from 1 species